AUGUUCUCACAAUCAGCCAGUGGCGUCAUGCCCAUUGAAAUAAAGGGGGCACGUGCCCCCUCGGAUUUUUCCUCCCUGAUAAUUUUUUUGAUCAUAACUUUGUUCCUAUUAUGCUCCAUAAUAAGC